rnacentral:rRNA from 1 species
CACGUAGUUAGCCGGGGCUUCUUAGUCAGGUACCGUCCAGGCGCCCAAGGGGCACCCUUCUUCCCUGCUGAUAGAGCUUUACAUACCGAAAUACUUCUUCACUCACGCGGCGUCGCUGCAUCAGGGUUUCCCCCAUUGUGCAAUAUUCCCCACUGCUGCCUCCCGUAGGAGUUUGGGCCGUGUCUCAGUCCCAAUGUGGCCGUCCGCCCUCUCAGGCCGGCUACCGAUCGUCGCUUUGGUGGGCCGUUACCCCGCCAACUGGCUAAUCGGACGCGGAUCCAUCGUAUGCCGUUAAACCUUUUCACACUGUGUCAUGCGACACCGUGCGCUUAUGCGGUAUUAGCAACUGUUUCCAGUUGGUAUCCCCCUGCAUACGGCAGGUUAUCCCACGCGUUACUCACCCGUCCGCCACUCACUUAAUUAUCACUUAGGUUUCAAAUUAAGUCCGUUCGACUUGCUAUGUGUUAGGCACGGCCGCCAGCCGUUCGACUCCUGACGUCCAAGGUAUACAAAACCUUCUA